rnacentral:rRNA from 1 species
AUUGAACGCUGGCGGCAUGCUUUACACAUGCAAGUCGAACGGCAGCACGGGUGCUUGCACCUGGUGGCGAGUGGCGGACGGGUGAGUAAUACAUCGGAACGUGUCCAGAAGAGGGGGAUAACGCAUCGAAAGAUGUGCUAAUACCGCAUAUACUCUAAGGAGGAAAGCAGGGGAUCGAAAGACCUUGCGUUUUUGGAGCGGCCGAUGUCUGAUUAGCUAGUUGGUGGGGUAAGGGCCUACCAAGGCGACGAUCAGUAGUUGGUCUGAGAGGACGACCAGCCACACUGGGACUGAGACACGGCCCAGACUCCUACGGGAGGCAGCAGUGGGGAAUUUUGGACAAUGGGCGCAAGCCUGAUCCAGCAAUGCCGCGUGAGUGAAGAAGGCCUUCGGGUUGUAAAGCUCUUUCAGUCGAGAAGAAAAGGCUGCAGUGAAUAACUGUAGUUUAUGACGGUAUCGACAGAAGAAGCACCGGCUAACUACGUG